AAUGAACGCUGGCGGCGCGCCUAAUACAUGCAAGUCGAGCGAGAAGACGUAGCAAUACGUUUGUAAAGCGGCGAACGGGUGAGGAAUACAUGGGUAACCUACCCUAGAGUGGGGAAUAACUAGCCGAAAGGUUAGCUAAUACCGCGUAUGCUCCUUGGACUUCGGUUCAGGGAGGAAAGCGAUGCCGAGGGUAUCGCGCUCUUGGAUGGGCUCAUGUCCCAUCAGCUGUUGGUGAGGUAACGGCUCACCAAGGCUUCGACGGGUAGCUGGUCUGAGAGGACGAUCAGCCACACUGGCACUGCGACACGGGCCAGACUCCUACGGGAGGCAGCAGUAAGGAAUAUUGCGCAAUGGGCGAAAGCCUGACGCAGCGACGCCGCGUGAAGGAUGAAAUCCUUCGGGAUGUAAACUUCGCAAAUAUGGGAAGAACACAAUGACGGUACCAUAUGUAAGCCCCGGCUAACUCCGUGCCAGCCGCCGCUGU
rnacentral:rRNA from 1 species